UCUGAGCAGAUCAGGAAGUAGAG
rnacentral:piRNA from 1 species